CCUACGGGAGGCAGCAGUGAGGAAUAUUGGUCAAUGGACGCAAGUCUGAACCAGCCAAGCCGCGUGCAGGAAGACGGCUCUAUGAGUUGUAAACUGCUUUUGUACGAGGGUAAACGCAGAUACGUGUAUCUGUCUGCAAGUAUCGUACGAAUAAGGAUCGGCUAACUCCGUGCCAGCAGCCGCGGUAAUACGGAGGAUUCGAGCGUUAUCCGGAUUUAUUGGGUUUAAAGGGUGCGUAGGUGGUCGGAUAAGUUAGCGGUGAAAUUCCGAGGCUCAACUUCGGAAUUGCCUUUGAUACUGUACGGCUAGAGAGUAGUUGCGGUAGGCGGAAUGUAUGGUGUAGCGGUGAAAUGCUUAGAGAUCAUGCAGAACCCCGAUUGCGAAGGCAGCUUACCAAGCUACUUCUGACGUUGAGGCACGAAAGCGUGGGGAGCAAACAGGAUUAGAUACCCGAGUAGUC
rnacentral:rRNA from 1 species